rnacentral:rRNA from 1 species
GGAUAAUCUCGGGAAACUGAGGGUAAUAUCCCAUAGGCCUUCGACACUGGAAUGUUCCAAGGCCAAAAGCUCCGGCGCGAUAGGAUGGGUCUGCGGCCGAUUAGCCAGUAGGCGGUGUAAAGGACCACCUAAGCUAUAAUCGGUAAGGGUCAUGGGAGUGAUAGCCCUGAGACGGAAUCUGAGACACUAUUCCGAGCCUUACGGGGUGCAGCAGGCGCGAAACCUUUACAAUGCACGAAAGUGUGAUAAGGGGACUCCAAGUGUGCAUAUACCAUAUGCACUUUUUUCUAGUUUAAAAAGCUAGGGGAAUAAGGGGUGGGCAAGACUAGUGCCAGCCGCCGCGGUAAAACUAGCAUCUCGAGUGGCAGUCACCAUUACUGGGCUUAAAGCGUCCGUAGCUCGUCUGGAAAGUCUCUGGUGAAAUCCUGCGGCUCAACCGUAGGGUGUGCCGGGGAAACUCCCGGACUUGAGGGCAAGAGAGGUCGGAGGUACUUCUGGGGUAGGGGUGAAAUCCUAUAAUCCUAGAAGGACCAACAGUGGCGAAGGCGUCCGACAUGAGUGCGCCUGACAGUGAGGGACGAGAGCCAGGGUCGCGAAACGGAUUAGAUACCCGAGUAGUCCUAGCUGUAAACGCUGCGAGCUAGGUGUUGCAUAUUCUUUGAGAUUAUGCAGUGUCGUAGUAAAGACGUUAAGCUCGCCGCCUGGGAAGUACGGUCGCAAGACUGAAACUUAAAGGAAUUGGCGGGGGAGC